GAUUACGGCCAUACCACACUGACAACGCCCGAUCUCGUCUGAUCUCGGAAGCUAAGCAGAGUUGGGCUGGGUCAGUACUUAGAAGGGUGAGCGCCUGCGAAUACCCAGGGUGCUGUAAGCA
ensembl:rRNA 5S_rRNA 5S ribosomal RNA